CACACACACACACACACACACACACUUUGCAUUAGCAGUCCAUGCUUCAGUGCUCUGUGAGUGUUUAUAGUCCUGUGACUUGAACACUUCAUGACUGAGAGCUGCUGAUCAGCAACUUCACCCACAGCAACCAUGACUUUGAUCAGCGUCUUCAUCUGCACACUGGCCCUCUGGACUCAAGGAUCCAGAGGUCAGGUGACUGUGACUCAGACUCCUUCAGUGCAAACUGUUGUUCCAGGAAACACAGUCACCAUCAACUGUAAAACCAGUAGCAGUGUGUAUGAUGGUAACUAUCUCACCUGGUACCUGCAGAAACCUGGAGAAGCUCCUAAACUCCUGAUCUAUUACGCUACAAGCUUACAGUCAGGAACUCCAGCUCGUUUCAGAGGCAGUGGAUCGAAUAUUGACUUCACUCUGACCAUCAGUGGAGUCCAGACUGAAGAUGCAGGAGAUUACUACUGUCAGAGUUUACAUUAUAUCAGUGGUAACUGGGUGAUCACACCGUGUUAGAGCAUCGUACAAAAACCUCGGUCAGUGAGAGUGUACAGAGAAGCACUGCUGCAGCUGGGAGAGACUGCAGGUGCUGAGGGGGAGGAUGUGAUACACACAAUCACACACACUGUGGAUGAGAGAAAACACACUUUAUUUUUUCUGCAUGUCACAGUGACACUAAUGACCACAUAAUGCAGUCAGAUAAAACCAUAAAGUACUAAUUCUACUGCUGAGACACUGAGAGUCGUCUCUCAUUCUCCCUUAGUCUCUGUGUGUUUCUUCAGAAGAGAUUGUUAUUAUCAGCUGCAGGACCAGU